UACAGAGGGUGCGAGCGUUAAUCGGAAUUACUGGGCGUAAAGCGCACGUAGGUGGCGACGUAAGUCGGGUGUGAAAGCCCCGGGCUCAACCUGGGAAUUGCAUUCGAGACUGCAUUGCUGGAGUACGGAAGAGGAAGGCGGAAUUCCCGGUGUAGCGGUGAAAUGCGCAGAUAUCGGGAGGAACACCAGUAGCGAAGGCGGCACUCUGGGCCGGUACUGACGCUGAGGAGCGAAAGCGUGGGGAGCGAACAGG
rnacentral:rRNA from 1 species